rnacentral:sRNA from 12 species
GGCUUCAACAGCCCCGUAGGUCGGGUCACAGCCCAGCAACACUGACAGUGGACCUACUGGAGCC